rnacentral:rRNA from 1 species
CCUCCUACGGGGCGCAGCAGUAGGGAAUCUUCCACAAUGGACGAAAGUCUGAUGGAGCAACGCCGCGUGAGUGAAGAAGGGUUUCGGGUUGUAAACCGCUUUCAGCAGGGAUGACUUCGACAGUACCUGCAGAAGAAGCCCCGGCUAACUACGUGCCAGCAGCCGCGGUAAUACGUAGGGGGCGAGCGUUAUCCGGAUUCAUUGGGCGUAAAGCGCGCGCAGGCGGACUCAUAAGCGGAGCCUUUAAUCUUGGGGCUUAACCUCAAGUCGGGCCCCGAACUGUGAGUCUCGAGUGUGGUAGGGGG